ensembl:rRNA 5S_rRNA 5S ribosomal RNA
GCUUACGGCCAUACCAGCCCAAGAAACGCCCGGUCUCUGUCUGAUCUCGGAAGCUAAGAAGGCUUGGGCUUGGUUAGUACUUGGAUGGGAGACCUCCUGGGAAUACCAGGUUCUGUAAGCU